GCCUGGCUGGCUCAGUUGGUGGAGCAUGCAACUCCUGAUCUCAGAGUCAUGAGUUCAAGUCCCAUGAUAGGCA
rnacentral:tRNA from 1 species